rnacentral:rRNA from 1 species
GGGUUGUGAGGUUAAGCGACUAAGCGUACACGGUGGAUGCCCUGGCAGUCAGAGGCGAUGAAGGGCGUGCUAAUCUGCGAUAAGCGCCGGUAAGGUGAUAUGAACCGUUAUAACCGGCGAUACCCGAAUGGGGAAACCCAGUGUGACUCGUCACACUAUCAUUAACUGAAUCCAUAGGUUAAUGAGGCGAACCGGGGGAACUGAAACAUCUAAGUACCCCGAGGAAAAGAAAUCAACCGAGAUUCCCCCAGUAGCGGCGAGCGAACGGGGAGGAGCCCAGAGCCUGAAUCAGCAUGUGUGUUAGUGGAAGCGUCUGGAAAGGCGCGCGAUACAGGGUGACAGCCCCGUACACAAAAGCGCAUGUGCUGUGAGCUCGAUGAGUAGGGCGGGACACGUGGUAUCCUGUCUGAAUAUGGGGGGACCAUCCUCCAAGGCUAAAUACUCCUGACUGACCGAUAGUGAACCAGUACCGUGAGGGAAAGGCGAAAAGAACCCCRGCGAGGGGAGUGAAAAAGAACCUGAAACCGUGUACGUACAAGCAGUGGGAGCCCCACCACUAAGCCAGUGGUGAACUCCACAUACGCAUCCUUUGCUGAGGAUACGGUUAACGGAGYGMAAGCGACGUUCAACCGCAAAAGAAGCAGAGGGGGCUUAGUGGUGGGGUGACUGCGUACCUUUUGUAUAAUGGGUCAGCGACUUAUAUUCUGUAGCAAGGUUAACCGMAUAGGGGAGCCGGAGGGAAACCGAGUCUUAAUUGGGCGUUAAGUUGCAGGGUAUAGACCCGAAACCCGGUGAUCUAGCCAUGGGCAGGUUGAAGGUUGGGUAACACUAACUGGAGGACCGAACCGACUAAUGUUGAAAAAUUAGCGGAUGACCUGUGGCUGGGGGUGAAAGGCCAAUCAAACCGGGAGAUAGCUGGUUCUCCCCGAAAGCUAUUUAGGU